rnacentral:rRNA from 1 species
UACGUAGGGUGCGAGCGUUAAUCGGAAUUACUGGGCGUAAAGCGUGCGCAGGCGGUUUUGUAAGACAGCUGUGAAAUCCCCGGGCUCAACCUGGGAACUGCGGUUGUGACUGCAAGGCUAGAGUACGGCAGAGGGGGGUGGAAUUCCUGGUGUAGCAGUGAAAUGCGUAGAUAUCAGGAGGAACAUCGAUGGCGAAGGCAGCCCCCUGGGCCGCUACUGACGCUCAUGCACGAAAGCGUGGGGAGCAAACAGGAUUAGAAACCCCCGUAGUCC